rnacentral:rRNA from 1 species
GACGAACGCUGGCGGCGUGCCUAAUACAUGCAAGUCGAACGCAUUUUCUUUCACCGUAGCUUGCUACACCGAAAGAAAAUGAGUGGCGAACGGGUGAGUAACACGUGGGUAACCUGCCCAUCAGCGGGGGAUAACACUUGGAAACAGGUGCUAAUACCGCAUAAUUCCAUUUACUGCAUGGUAGAUGGAUGAAAGGCGCUUUUGCGUCACUGAUGGAUGGACCCGCGGUGCAUUAGCUAGUUGGUGGGGUAACGGCCUACCAAGGCUGCGAUGCAUAGCCGACCUGGGAGGGGGACCGGCACACUGGGACUGAGACACGGCCCAGACUCCUACGGGAGGCAGCAGUAGGGAAUCUUCGGCAAUGGACGCAAGUCUGACCGAGCAACGCCGCGUGAGUGAAGAAGGUUUUCGGAUCGUAAAACUCUGUUGUUAGAAAAGAACAAGGAUGAGAGUGGAAAGUUCAUCCCUUGACGGUAGCUAACCAGAAAGCCACGGCUAACUACGUG